GACGAACGCUGGCGGCGUGCCUAGUACAUGCAAGUAGAACGCUGAAGAGAGGAGCUUGCUCUUCUUGGAUGAGUUGCGAACGGGUGAGUAACGCGUAGGUAACCUGCCUGGUAGCGGGGGAUAACUAUUGGAAACGAUAGCUAAUACCGCAUAAAAUGGAUUAUCGCAUGAUAAUCCAUUGAAAGGUGCAAAUGCAUCACUACCAGAUGGACCUGCGUUGUAUUAGCUAGUUGGUGGGGUAACGGCUCACCAAGGCGACGAUACAUAGCCGACCUGAGAGGGUGAUCGGCCACACUGGGACUGAGACACGGCCCAGACUCCUACGGGAGGCAGCAGUAGGGAAUCUUCGGCAAUGGACGGAAGUCUGACCGAGCAACGCCGCGGGAGUGAAGAAGGGUUUCGGAUCGUAAAGCUCUGUUGUAAGAGAAGAACGAGUGUGAGAGUGGAAAGUUCACACUGUGACGGUAUCUUACCAGAAAGAGACGGCUAACUACGUG
rnacentral:rRNA from 1 species